AUUGAACGCUGGCGGCAGGCCUAACACAUGCAAGUCGAGCGGAUGAAGGGAGCUUGCUCCUGGAUUCAGCGGCGGACGGGUGAGUAAUGCCUAGGAAUCUGCCUGGUAGUGGGGGAUAACGUCCGGAAACGGGCGCUAAUACCGCAUACGUCCUGAGGGAGAAAGUGGGGGAUCUUCGGACCUCACGCUAUCAGAUGAGCCUAGGUCGGAUUAGCUAGUUGGUGGGGUAAAGGCCUACCAAGGCGACGAUCCGUAACUGGUCUGAGAGGAUGAUCAGUCACACUGGAACUGAGACACGGUCCAGACUCCUACGGGAGGCAGCAGUGGGGAAUAUUGGACAAUGGGCGAAAGCCUGAUCCAGCCAUGCCGCGUGUGUGAAGAAGGUCUUCGGAUUGUAAAGCACUUUAGGUUGGGAGGAGGGCAGUAAGUUAAUACCUUGCUGUUUUGACGUUACCAACAGAAUAAGCACCGGCUAACUUCGUG
rnacentral:rRNA from 1 species